CUUUCCUUUCGCUGCUGCGGCCGCAGCCAUGAGUAUGCUCAGGCUUCAGAAGAGGCUUGCCUCUAGUGUCCUCCGCUGUGGCAAGAAGAAGGUCUGGUUAGACCCCAAUGAGACCAAUGAAAUCGCCAAUGCCAACUCCCGUCAGCAGAUCCGGAAGCUCAUCAAAGAUGGGCUGAUCAUCCGCAAGCCUGUGACGGUCCAUUCCCGGGCUCGAUGCCGGAAAAACACCUUGGCCCGCCGGAAGGGCAGGCACAUGGGCAUAGGUAAGUGUGGUCAUCUUCUCCUUAAGAAAUGAUAGGUGCUGGCGUCUAUGCUGAAAUAUAUUCAGGAUCUAAGCACUCUGUCUCAUCUUGAGCCCAUUUCUUACUCCUUGAUAUUUGAUGUGUUUUCUGCCUGUGUGCAAAUCAGAAAGUUGGUGCUGGUAUUGGAAUUGAGAGUAUCCCUGGUAGGAGGUCACAUUUGCUAAGUCCUUACCUACACUAUGCCAAGGAUUCUGUACUUUCUAGUUUCAGAAUGAUCGAAGGAAGCUCCUUACAACGUGCUGUGUUACCUUGGUGCACUGCCUGUUACACCCACA
rnacentral:sRNA from 1 species